CAGGAUCUCUGCGGGGUCACGGGCUUGGCAUGGGGCGCUGGGAACCUCCGAAUGUGGGAGUCGUCCCACCUCGGGACACUGCGGGGACCAAGCCGCGAGCCAGCGGAUGAGCCAUUUGCACCGGCCGGGAGGUGAAACGGCGCUCUUACUCACUGAUGAGGCAGCGGGAGGAGCAGUGUCUGUGUGCAGGGCUCAGCCAAGGUCAGACACUCCUGGGUCAUCAGCACUGCUUUCAGCACAACUCCAAAACAGUCCCGCCCUGGCUCCUAUGGGCAGAAUGACCUCUAUCCCAGUCAAACCAGUACAGGACUCCAGGGAACCUGGAAGCGAGCAGCGACAUCCAGAAGAGUUUUGGAUUUGUCACUGUGAGCACCUCAGGCCGUAUGUGCACCCAGGCUGCCCAGCCGGCACCGCGGGCUGAACCGGCACCCGGGACGUCACCGGGCACCGGCGCGCUGCGUGACGCAGCCUGGCACGGAGGAGGAAUGCCCUGUGCUUUCCAUCCCAUGGGAGCGCUGAUUUGCCUCGGAGGGCGUCCUCGCCCGGCGCUGACUCAGCCUCAGCAGAACCGCUCCAGCACCCUCCAGCCGCCGUCAGCGGGGAGACGGGGAGGACGGGGCUGGGGAGCAGGAGGGUGGGAACAGCAGGACACCAUCGGGACACCCUCGGGAAGGCAGCACGGAGAAGGAGGUGGCAGCUGAUCCGGCCGACGAGGCUCCCACGCCGCAGGGCCAAUCCAGGUGGGUGGCAGAGGUGGUGCUGGUCCCGUGCUGGUCCAGUGCCAGCAGAGCGGGGCUGGGUGAAGGGGUCACAACCGUGUACCCCACGUACCUCUGGAGCAGCUCCUCCAGGCUGGAGGUGGCCUGGUGUGCCAUGUGAGCCUGGCUGGACUGCCCACCCCAGGAGGGAGAGGAGCUGGGGCCACGCUGGGCAAUGCCCAGAGCUUGGAUCGCUGAACUCCAGCUGGGUUUGGGGUAGGGGAUUGUAUUGCCGAGUUUUUGGGGCUGUUUGGAGGGCGGCUCCGCUCUCUCUGCUUGGCUCGGUGCAGCCCAGCUCGGUGUGGCCGUGCCAGCGCCGUGGCUCAGCUCUGCAGGAAUGUGGAGCAGCAGGUUGUGCCCGGCCGGGCUGUCCGUGCCGGGGAGGGGUCCCCACUCCAGCCACCGGUGGCUGUGCUGUGGCUCCCGUGUCCUUGUCCCUGGAUUUCACAGCCAUCUCCUCUGUGGCUUGGCUGAGCGUCUGGUACAAGGCUGAGCUCCAGUGCCUGACGUGGGGACAUUUUAUCACUUUGCCUUUCCUGGGGGACAGUUUUGCACCCCUGUGCUGAACCGGGGAGCCCUCCCUGUGCUGGGCACAGGUACAAGGGCAGCGAAGCUGGCCAUUGGCACAGGGGCUGGGCAGCACUGGACCCGAGGGGUUGGGCAGAGGGGUGCAGAAAGCUGCCCCAGGAAGGAGGCAGGAGGAUCUGUGACAGUGCUGGGACCGUUCCCAGCUGUCACCACGCCUGGCCGCCCCCCUGCAGACAUUUUCCAGGUCAGGAGGCAGCAUGUCCCCCCAGGCAGGGGAUGAGGACGGGGAGAGGGGCAGCCAGCCUCCUCCAUGGCCACUCGUCUGUCACAGCGUGUCAGGGGGAUGCACCGUGAGCUGUGCAGGGAUCCCGAUCCUGCUGGGGUGCAGAUUCUGGGGAAUCCGGCACCCGUGGGCUGGUAGGGGGUGCAGACGUGGCUCAGCUGUGUCUCAGCCACGGCUCGGCGGGGCUCUGGGUGCCAGGGCUGGCUGCUGCCGCUGGGACAGGCGCUGGGCUGCUCCCAGGAAGUUUGUACACGCAGGUGAGCGGGUGACGGUGGCAGCUGCCGGCUCGGGGCUGCCACGGGAGCGAGUGAGGCCGCAGCACACCGGCCCUGCCCUGCCCACCUCUGCAGCCGGUGAGUGCUGGGGCUUGCUGUCACAUCCUCGGGCUCACCAGUGCCCCGAAUCGGGACCCUCAGGAGGAAUCUCGGAGCAGAUUAGGAAAGGGGUUGGGGGAGAGGGUCUGACCCACGUAUGCUCCUGUGUGCCCUGCCGCUGCUGAGCCCCUCUGGGUAUUGGGGCUACUCUGGGGGUGUCCACCUCUGGUCAGGGGGCUGCAGAAGGGUGUAGGGCUGGUUUGGGUGCCCUCCCCCCCCUUUUCGCUGUGGGCGGGCUGGUGCGACCGUUGUGGCGGCUGCGCUUGUUGGGGUUGGCAGGGACCCAAGGACACGGGUGCACAGGGCCUCACGCUGCCCCGAGCAGCCGGGGAAGCACGAGUGGAAACCCCCGUGUGCUCCACUUACUUUCCAAGGAGCUCCAGGGUGAGAGCAGGGAGCCUGCGAGCAGCCUCGGAGCUUGCGAGAGCUGAGGGAACAGCAGAGGGAGCGGAGCGCGGAAUCCACCGGCCCGGCAGGGUGGUGGGUGAUGGAACCCUGGGCAUGGGGGAUGCACUCCUGGGGGCAGGCAAUGCACCCUCGGGCAUGGGGGAUGCAAGGAUGUAGAUGAGGCACCCCUGGGAGCAAUCAGUGCUCCCCUGGGAGUGGGACAUGCACGCCUGGGUGAAGGAAAUGCCCCCCUGGAUGUGGGCAGUGCACCCCUGAGCACGGACGAGGGGCACAUUCAAUGCCCCCCUUGAAGGGGGAGAUGCACCCCCGGCACCUGCGGCUCGGGCAGAGCAUCGGUGAGGGGUGCUCGGCUCUCUCCGCCCCCCU